CACACGUUUCCUUAGAUCCACCUUCGGAGUGUCUCACUCUGCUGUCGCCAUCUCUCUUCUGAGAGCAGUUCUCCGCUCUUGUGGCUAUCAGGUUUUCUGUGAUCCAUUUGAGUGGAGGGCGUUGGCAACUGGCAGGGUGGCUUUACAGCCGCUCAACAACUUUUCCGGUUGUCCCAUCGAAGGUGCAUGAGUCAAUUGCGUGUAACAAUAAUAAUCAACUGGUGAUAUU
rnacentral:snoRNA from 1 species